ensembl:lncRNA
AAAAUAUAUAUAUUUUCUGGAAUUUUGCAUAUUUCGUCAGUGGACACCUACCGACAAGAUACUGUGUUGAUGUUCAGGGUAGAUUAAAUGGCGUGUCUUAUAAUGUCAUUAGAUAUUCAGGAGCCCCCUCAUUUCAACGUCCUGAAGUGACUUAGGAAGCUACUUUUGUCAACUGACACCACAGUUGAAAACAUCUGGGAGACGUUUCAUGGAAGCAUUAUUUUUAUGUCGACCUCAUAACAUUGCUAUACGUCAGAAAGUACAAUGAGAGCCCCACAAAAUGCCGUUUCUGGUAGCCACUGCGAACUUAACUUGGUCAGUGUUUACCUACAGCACCAACAAGACAACGGAGCAGAGCAGAACAGAGCCAUUGGUUUGAGGCUAUGGAGACAGUACAGUGCACCACAGCAGAGGGAGUUCAGGAGAGUCCUCAGGGACCUCAAGAUUGAGCUCAGGGGGCUCAAGAGGAGUCAUGAGAGGAGACAAACAAUGCUGCAAUGCCGGGUCUCUGUACCUUCUUGCUAAAUGCAAGUAAAAUAUGUUUCCUAUAGCUAUGUCUAUUGGGUGGACUCAUUCUGUCAUGGGAGGAGGCUGUAUUGUGUGCUGGCAGACAGUGAACUAAAGAAAAAGUACAUUGUAAAGAAGAAAUUCCCUUCACCUAUUUACACCACCUACUGUAUUGUCAGUUCCAAGGCAUGGGAGUCUCUGUUGGAAAUGUUCAAGUAUCCCACAUAUUGGCCAUCAUGUUCAAGUUAGCUAUGGAAUGGAUUAUGCCCAAUGUUAAUUUUUAAUGAUGGAUGUAUAUGUGAUGCAUGGAUUAUUCUUGGAAAUGUAUACGUGAUCUGGGAAUAAUCUGGCAAAAAAACUAUCUUCAGUGAUUGUUCACUGAGUUCACCCCUCUACUGUGGAGUGACAUUGACAGGGUUGGGAAUCAUGCCACAUGUUUUGUAUUUUCUAUCUGUGGAUCUGAAAGAUUGUCUGUCAACUGCUGUUUGGAACAGUGUGUCCCCUGGUACUUUCACUUACCGGUCUUUAAAUAAACUAUAUGGCUGUCCAUUACAGACGCAUCAGUGCUUAUAGGAUUCACUGGCUUGGGCAGAUAAAUGUCUCAACUUCAAUCAAAGCAAGUGUAUCGCUCAAGAUGAAAUUACACCGUUCAGAGGAUUGCAUUGAACUCCUCGAUACUUUUCUCAGUUGAAUGGUCGGACUGUCAUUUUUGUUGACAGCUUAUACAUUCCAUUAUCUGUUUGCAUCACUAUUAGUUUGCAUAACAGCGGAUGAACUUGUCCUAAAUACACUUGAUUUAUUGAAAAUGUUUGGCUUUCAGAUUGAGACUUAUUGAAGCAAAUAACAGGCCAGAUGUUCAAGUAAAAAUGCUGUCAGAUAUUCAUCUAUUUUUACACAAUUGUUCCCUACGGCAAGGAGGGAAGUCCUGCUUUUAGGGAUCUUGAGUAGUUUGUCAGUAUAGUUUUGCUCUGACCUUGAUGCACUCAUCUUGACAAUGCGUGUUUCCAUGUGUUUAUGUUGAAAAACAUGUGUGUUUGUAUGAAAACAUGUAG